UAUUGCUGAAUGUGGAAAACGAUGGGAGUUAGGAAAAAUAAGCACCAUGAGGAGGGAAGGAGGCAGAACAGAGCUGUGCAAAAGUGAAAUGACUUAAGUUGUCCAAGGUCAAUUAAAGAAGAGGACUGCCUUUAGUCAUUAGUAGCCAGAACUCACAGCAGCUGAGGAAUGGAGGCAUCUAAGUUCAUGUGGAAUCUGGCUGACCUGAGCAUUUGGCAUGUCCUGGAGGUGGAAAGUGUUUCACAAAGUCAG
rnacentral:lncRNA from 1 species